AUAUUUUAUAUUUAUUAAAAGUAACUAUUGUUUUAAUAAAAAGUAAUUAUGCAUAUGAAGAAAUGUAAUAUUUUAAUAUUAUUACUUUUUUCACAAAAAUUGUUAUUUUUACUCACGAAAACUUGUAAUUUUAAUAUUUGGUUAAAUAAUUAUAGUCGUAAGAAAAAAUAACUAUUAAUGUGAAUAAAGGUAAUAUUAAAAAAAAUCAUAAAUAAAUGGGAAAAAUAGAAAAAUGUUUAAAAAGUGUUGAAAAUAAAAAAAUUAAACAAAAAAAAGCAUAAAAUAAAAAACUGAAGAAAAAUGAAAAAAUGAAAAAGACAAAAAACUGAAAAAAGAAAAAUAAGCGAAAAAGGAACC
rnacentral:lncRNA from 1 species